rnacentral:rRNA from 1 species
UGGGGAAUAUUGCACAAUGGGCGCAAGCCUGAUGCAGCCAUGCCGCGUGUAUGAAGAAGGCCUUCGGGUUGUAAAGUACUUUCAGCGGGGAGGAAGGGAGUAAAGUUAAUACCUUUGCUCAUUGACGUUACCCGCAGAAGAAGCACCGGCUAACUCCGUGCCAGCAGCCGCGGUAAUACGGAGGGUGCAAGCGUUAAUCGGAAUUACUGGGCGUAAAGCGCACGCAGGCGGUUUGUUAAGUCAGAUGUGAAAUCCCCGGGCUCAACCUGGGAACUGCAUCUGAUACUGGCAAGCUUGAGUGUCGUAGAGGGGGGUAGAAUUCCAGGUGUAGCGGUGAAAUGCGUAGAGAUCUGGAGGAAUACCGGUGGCGAAGGCGGCCCCCUGGGCGAAGACUGACGCUCAGGUGCGAAAGCGUGGGGAGCAAACAGG